AUUUAUCCAAUUAAGUUGACCAUGCUCCUUUCUUUGUAGGGGCCCCGUGUGCAACGGCUGCAAACAGCAGCCUCCUCGGUAUUGUGUGCAGCCUGUUGCUUAUUUGGGUUGCCAUGAGGUACCUUGGAGAUGGCC